rnacentral:rRNA from 1 species
AGCGAACGCUGGCGGCGUGGCUUAGGCAUGCAAGUCGAGCGAGAAAGCGGGGGCAACCCCGUGAGUAAAGCGGCGAAAGGGUGAGUAAUAUAUCGACAAUCUACCCUCAGGACCGGGACAACGGCUGGAAACGGCCGCUAAUACCGGGUGGUCCUGCAACGGGGCAUCCCGUUGCAGGUAUACGGUGGGGACCUUCGGCCUUCUGCCUGGGGCGGAGUCGAUAUCCUAUCAGCUAGUUGGCGGGGAAUGCCACCAAGCGACGACGGGUAGCCGGACUGAGAGGUUGGCCGGUCGACACUGGGACUGAGACACUGCCCAGACUCCUACGGGAGGCUGCAGUCGCGAAUAUUCCGCAAUGGGCGCAAGCCUGACGGAGCGACGCCGCGUGUGGGAUGAAGGCCU